rnacentral:lncRNA from 1 species
CCAGCUUGAACUACAAUUUCUCCUUUGGAUGAAUCCACUUCUAAAACCGUCACUUUUUUCCCAAGGGAAGAGAUAUGAACAGUAUCACCAACCUUGGGAGGCUUAGACUUACCUGCAACAUCAAUAAGGUGAAUGACAUUUGCACCAGUAUUCCUAUGAUGUAAAAAAAUCCUCAGUAUAAGACUAGACAUCAUAACUUUAGUGUGUUCUAUCACUAGGUAAAAAUAAACUAGAGCGGUACACUUAAUUCAGAUGCAAGAAAUUAAAUAUAUUAUCUCAUUGCAGUUUGGUUUCCUUGUAUAUCCCUCAUGUUUCAUUAUCUUUCCACAUACCUGAACCUAAUGAUGAUUGACUAAAAACUUUUACAGCAGAUGUACUUCUAUCAGCAACAGUAGGUUCUUUGUUAUUUGCUGCAAUUUGGCUUUUGUUGGUUGCUGAUAAAUGAGAGCUGCUAAUAGUUUUAUUGUUCUGUGAAGGUUGCUUAGCUGAUAUAUCCAUUUCCCUCACUUUCUUGCGAAGGAUGGAUCUUGCCAUUGCUGCAGCGUCGGAUACAUCUCUCAUCUUUUUAAAUCGUAUAUC